UUGGCCUCCGUGCGGUAUCCCACAGUGCACCAUUGUGACCGCUCUGGAAAGCAAUCUGAACUCGGAUGCACUGGCAGGUAGGCAGGAAAAGCCUCGAGUACUUUUGAAUUUCAUU